AAAAAUUUAUAGGAAUAACAUAUAUAAUAACAUAUAUGAAAAUCAAAUUUUACAAGGUGUAAAAGUUAGUAAUUUUAUAUUAAAAAAUUAAAAAGAACGAGUAAAACCGUACAUAUAUACACACAUGCACUCAUACGUAUGUACAUAUUUUUCCCGUAUCACAGGUACACAAUGUUGACCCCGAUGGAUACGGAGAAAUAGCUAUUUGUGCUCCUCGACAGAACUCACUGUUUUUUGUUAAAUUCUAUUUGCUAAUUCCUGAUGAACAAGUUAAUUUAAAAGUGCUAAAAAUAAAUAAACAGAAAAAAAAAACUAUUUUUCAAUUACUAUGUAAAACUAAAAAAAGUAAGCAUGAAAUAUCACCCAUGUGUGUACACUUUACUUCAUGCGGAGGAUGUAUUUAUCAACAUUUCAAUUAUACCUUUGAACGUGAAAUAAAAAAAAAAUUCAUACUAAGUUUAUGUGAAAAAUACAAUAUAAAUAUAUUAAUUAGUAGCGAACAUUUCUUACAAAAUAAUCCCUUACUAUCUAAACAAAAUGAAAAAAACGAUAACCAUGAAAUGGUGGAACUUGCACAAAUAAAAAAAGAAUAUAUGGAUUUUGAUUAUGAAGAAGAGGAAAAUGAAGACGAAAAAAAUAGUAAUAUAAAUAGUAACUAUUCAAAAGAAAGUUAUAUAUACAAUGAUAACAUUGUUAAUGAUAAUGAUAAAGACACACGUAAUACAUUUGACAAUGAUGAGCAAAAAGAUGAGCAGAGCUGUGCAAAAUUCUACGAUUUUAUCUUUUCCAAUGAUUAUUAUUACAGAAAUAAAACAUCAAUUCAUUUUUCAGUUACUGAUAAACUACAUAUCGGUUUUUAUAAAAAACAGAGUUAUGAUAUUUGUAGCAUAGAUAAAUGUUAUGUAAAUGAUGAGCUCAUACAAAAUAUAUAUGAAGAAAUUAAAAAAGAAAUAAUACACAAUUUUAAAAAAAAUAAUAUAUAUAUCUAUAACAAAAUAAAUAGUAAUGGUUAUUUAAAAGGUGUGGACAUAAAAUUUAGUGUAUGUAAUAGUGGUGUUGCUAGGGGUGCUACUAAUGGUAUAGCUGAUGGUAUUAGUAGUAGUAUAACCAAUGGUACUACUAGUGGUAUAGCUACCAUUAAUAAUAAUAAUAAUAACUACAAUAGCAAUAAUAGCGGCGAUGACAAUGAGAAACAAAUAUUAAUUAACUUUGUCGGCUUUAGUUUGAACGAAAAAGCUAAAAACAAUUUGGUUGUUAUUGCAAAUAAUUUAGCUAAAAAAAAUAAACUAAUAAAAGGGGUUUUAUAUAAUGUAGAAACUAAUAAAUUCAAACAGAGAAGAACUGAAACUGUUUUAUAUGGGCAAAAUUAUAUUUACCAUACAUAUAAAAAUUAUACAUAUAAAAUUGGAGGUAAUACAUUUUUUCAACCAAAC
rnacentral:lncRNA from 1 species